CCUACGGGUGGCAGCAGUGAGGAAUAUUGGUCAAUGGGCGUAAGCCUGAACCAGCCAAGUCGCGUGAGGGAUGAAGGUUCUAUGGAUCGUAAACCUCUUUUAUAAGGGAAUAAAGUGUGGGACGUGUCCUAUUUUGCAUGUACCUUAUGAAUAAGGAUCGGCUAACUCCGUUCCAGCAGCCGCGGUAAUAUGGAGGAUCCGAGCGUUAUCCGGAUUUAUUGGGUUUAAAGGGUGCGUAGGCGGCCUUUUAAGUUAGCGGUGAAAGUCUGUGGCUCAACCAUAGAAUUGCCGUUGAAACUGGGGGUCUUGAGUGUGUUUGAGGCAGGCGGAAGGCGAGGUGUAGCGGUGAAAUGCUUAGAUAUCACGCAGAACCCCAGUGGCGAAGGCGGCCUGCCAGGCCAUGACUGACGCUGAUGCACGAAAGCGUGGGGAUCAAACAGGAUUAGAUACCCGAGUAGUC
rnacentral:rRNA from 1 species